ensembl:misc_RNA Metazoa_SRP Metazoan signal recognition particle RNA
GCCAGGCACAUUAACCUGUGUCUGGAGUCCCAGCUAAUCGGGAGGCUGAGGCAGGAGGGUCACUUGAGUCCACGACUUCUGGGCUGUAGUGCACUAUGAAGAUGGGUGUCCGCGCUAAGUUCGGCAUCAAUAUGGUGACCUCCUGGGAGCAGGGUCCACCAGGUUGCCUAAGGAGGAGUGGACCACCCCAGGCCAGAAAGGGAGCAGGUCAAAACUCCUAUGCUGAUCAGUAGUGGGAUUGUACCUGUGAACAGCCACUGCACUCUGGCCUGGGCAACAUAGCAAGACCAUGCCUCUG